UACGUAGGGGGCAAGCGUUGUCCGGAUUUAUUGGGCGUAAAGAGCGUGUAGGCGGCCAGGUAGGUCCGUUGUGAAAACUCGAGGCUCAACCUCGAGACGCCGAUGGAAACCAUCUGGCUAGAGUCCGGAAGAGGAGAGUGGAAUUCCCGGUGUAGCGGUGAAAUGCGCAGAUAUCGGGAAGAACACCCGUGGCUAAGGCGGCUCUCUAGUACGGUACUGACGCUGAGACGCGAAAGCGUGGGGAGCAAACAGG
rnacentral:rRNA from 1 species